rnacentral:lncRNA from 1 species
AGGAGAGGCCAUUGGUGAAGGUGCAUCCUCACUGGUAGUUGAAGGCCUAGAUUUAAAGGGCUCAUGUAGAGAAGCUGAGGCUUGGCACCAUGAAGAGAGCUUAGGAGAGGGUACUGGUGAAGAUACAGCCCAGUCGCAGCAGAAGAGUCCAGCGUUUUGAAAAUGCCAACCAUAGGAUGAUCACCAAGACCAGCAGCAGUGGUGGUGUGGAGCCAGCUGAGCUUAGAAGACAAGCUGUGUGUGCUGCAGAGGGUGGAGCAGGAGAAAGUGACUCAAGCCAUUUGGAGGAUCCCAGAUUUGACCAACCCUAAGAGGAAGCCAGGAUGCUUCGUAAGUUACACACUAACAUCUGGAUCCAGCGAGGUUUUUCUCUUGGUCUUUUGGAGACACUCAUCUCUACUCCCCUCAUUCGGACUUCUGGCUGGAAGUGAUGACAGCGUACAGAUUUCUUCUGUCACAGUCCUCAGAUCUGGAACUGGGCUUUGGUAAUGCUUC